CCUACGGGAGGCAGCAGUGGGGGAUAUUGCACAAUGGGGGGAACCCUGAUGCAGCGACGCCGCGUGUGGGAAGACGGUCCUCUGGAUUGUAAACCACUGUCCCCAGGGACGAAAAUGACGGUACCUGGGGAGGACGCUCCGGCUAACUACGUGCCAGCAGCCGCGGUAAUACGUAGGGAGCGAGCGGUGUCCGGAAUUACUGGGUGUAAAGGGAGUGUAGACGGCUGCGCAAGUCAGAAGUGAAAGCCCGGGGCUCAACCGCGGGACUGCUUUUGAAACUGUGUAGCUAGAGUGCAGGCGAGGGAAGUGGAAUUCCUAGUGUAGCGGUGAAAUGCGUAGAUAUUAGGAGGAACACCGGUGGCGAAGGCGGCUUACUGGACGGUAACUGACGUUGAGGCUCGAAAGCGUGGGGAGCAAACAGGAUUAGAUACCCUAGUAGUC
rnacentral:rRNA from 1 species